CAUCGAUGAAGAACGCAGCGAAAUGCGAUAAGUAAUAUGAAUUGCAGAUAUUCGUGAAUCAUCGAAUCUUUGAACGCACAUUGCGCCCUUUGGUAUUCCAAAGGGCAUGCCUGUUUGAGCGUCAUUUCUCCCUCAAACCCUCGGGUUUGGUGUUGAGCGAUACGCUGGGUUUGCUUGAAAGAAAGGCGGAGUAUAAACUAAUGGAUAGGUUUUUUCCACUCAUUGGUACAAUCUCCAAAACUUCUUCCAAAUUCGACCUCAAAUCAGGUAGGACUACCCGCUGAACUUAAGCAUAUCAAUAAGCGGAGGA
rnacentral:rRNA from 1 species